GAUGAAGAACGCAGCGAAAUGCGAUAAGUAGUGUGAAUUGCAGAAUUCAGUGAAUCAUCGAAUCUUUGAACGCACAUUGCGCCCCUUGGUAUGCCGAGGGGCAUGCCUGUUCGAGCGUCAUUUCACCACUCAAGCCUGGCUUGGUGUUGGGCGACGUCCCCUUUGGGGACGCGCCUCGAAACGCUCGGCGGCGUGGCACCGGCUUUAAGCGUAGCAGAAUCUUUCGCUUUGGAAGUCGGGGCCCCGUCUGCCGGAAGACCUACUCGCAAGGUUGACCUCGGAUCAGGCAGGGAUACCCGCUGAACUUAAGCAUAUCAAUAAGCAGGA
rnacentral:misc_RNA from 1 species